rnacentral:rRNA from 1 species
GGGGGACGGAGAAGGCUAUGUUAGCCGGGCGACGGUUGUCCCGGUUUAAGCAUGUAGGCUGAUUGUCCAGGCAAAUCCGGAUAAUCAAGGCUGAGGUGUGAUGACGAGGCACUACGGUGCUGAAGUAACAAAUGCCCUGCUUCCAGGAAAAGCCUCUAAGCAUCAGGUAACAUCAAAUCGUACCCCAAACCGACACAGGUGGUCAGGUAGAGAAUACCAAGGCGCUUGAGAGAACUCGGGUGAAGGAACUAGGCAAAAUGGUGCCGUAACUUCGGGAGAAGGCACGCUGGUGUGUAGGUGAAGUCCCUGCGGAUGGAGCUGAGACCAGUCGAAGAUACCAGCUGGCUGCAACUGUUUAUUAAAAACACAGCACUGUGCAAACACGAAAGUGGACGUAUACGGUGUGACGCCUGCCCGGUGCCGGAAGGUUAAUUGAUGGGGUUAUCCGUAAGGAGAAGCUCUUGAUCGAAGCCCCGGUAAACGGCGGCCGUAACUAUAACGGUCCUAAGGUAGCGAAAUUCCUUGUCGGGUAAGUUCCGACCUGCACGAAUGGCGUAAUGAUGGCCAGGCUGUCUCCACCCGAGACUCAGUGAAAUUGAACUCGCUGUGAAGAUGCAGUGUACCCGCGGCAAGACGGAAAGACCCCGUGAACCUUUACUAUAGCUUGACACUGAACAUUGAGCCUUGAUGUGUAGGAUAGGUGGGAGGCUUUGAAGCGUGGACGCCAGUCUGCGUGGAGCCAACCUUGAAAUACCACCCUUUAAUGUUUGAUGUUCUAACGUUGGCCCCUUACCGGGGUUGCGGACAGUGUCUGGUGGGUAGUUUGACUGGGGCGGUCUCCUCCCAAAGCGUAACGGAGGAGCACGAAGGUUAGCUAAUCCUGGUCGGACAUCAGGAGGUUAGUGCAAUGGCAUAAGCUAGCUUGACUGCGAGCGUGACGGCGCGAGCAGGUGCGAAAGCAGGUCAUAGUGAUCCGGUGGUUCUGAAUGGAAGGGCCAUCGCUCAACGGAUAAAAGGUACUCCGGGGAUAACAGGCUGAUACCGCCCAAGAGUUCAUAUCGACGGCGGUGUUUGGCACCUCGAUGUCGGCUCAUCACAUCCUGGGGCUGAAGUAGGUCCCAAGGGUAUGGCUGUUCGCCAUUUAAAGUGGUACGCGAGCUGGGUUUAGAACGUCGUGAGACAGUUCGGUCCCUAUCUGCCGUGGGCGCUGGAGAAUUGAGGGGGGCUGCUCCUAGUACGAGAGGACCGGAGUGGACGCAUCACUGGUGUUCGGGUUGUCAUGCCAAUGGCACUGCCCGGUAGCUAAAUGCGGAAGAGAUAAGUGCUGAAAGCAUCUAAGCACGAAACUUGCCCCGAGAUGAGUUCUCCCUGAGACUUUAAGUCUCCUGAAGGAACGUUAAAGACGAUGACGUUGAUAGGCCGGGUGUGUAAGCGCAGCGAUGCGUUGAGCUAACCGGUACUAAUGAACCGUGAGGCUUAACCUU